GUUAGUGGUUUUCUUUUUUCGCCUCUUCCACUUCGACGACUCCGCUGAUCUUUCAGUCCAGAGACAAUGAAGUCUUCUCUCACCUCUUUGGCUCCCCUAUCAUGUUCAACGUAUUCCUCUUAAUUUCGCCAAUAAACGUGAUUGCCAUUUAACCUAAAAACGUUGUGUAUCUCUCCGUUUCCUCCACCUCAAAUCUAAAAAUUGGAGAAGGUUGAGAAUUGGAUGAACCUUCACAAAAACUCCCAGUUAAUCUCCUUUAUCAACCGUAGAAAUAAUAAUCCUUAUGUUGUCAAGAGGCAGAUGACUAAUAUAUGCUUCAGUACGAUGAAAAGCAUCAGAAGCCUUCCUGUCGGCCCUUCUUCCCGAGAACCAUCACCGCCGCGGUGGAGACAAAACCUGUUUCAGCAGAUCUGAAAAGAGAAAGACAAGCAGCAAGACACAAAGCAAGGAUCUACCACAACCAACAGAGACCAAAGUCCGCCGUGAAGGUGGUGUGGGUCGGGUGGAACUGGAGUGUUCUUUCCAGGCAGUCAUGGUACUGCUGUGAGUCAAGCAAGAAAUCAGAUGUGGUUUAAAAGAAGGUUACAGAUGUGGUCAUUGAAGCCAUGAACGGACUUCCAACGUUCGCCACGAGUCAAGGUGGACCGGCUGAGAUAAUCACUGAUGAUGUCUCUGGUUUCCACAUUUAUCCCAACAAUGGUGAUGAAUAUGUUUCCAGGAUUGGAGAUAUCUUCAGCAAGUGUAGUACAGAUGGUUUGUAUUGGGAUACUAUCUCUAAGGCUGGUCCAAACGUAUCUAUGAGUGCUACACAUGGAAGAUCUAUGCAGAGAAGUUACUGAAAAUGGGAAGCAUAUAUGGAUUUUGGAGACAAGCGAAUGAAUUCAGAAGAAAACUAAGCAGUACAUUGACAUGCUUUACAAUCUCGAGUUCAAACAUUGACCAAGAAAGUGACUAUCCCGGAAGAUAAAGCUCUACCACUAAGAUUGGCUUAACUAUGUAGCCUUCUUCC